UCUUAUAAAUUUGAAUUAAGAAACCCAGGUCAGGUCUAACAUUUUUUUCUUUGGGGGAAUGACCCUUCUCCUCUUCUUAGCCCACACACUUUGAUGGAGCUGACUCCAUCCUUGACUUUCUUAGACGGCCCCUGGCUCGGCCUGACCAAUCAGAGCACUGCACUCUCCUGGGAUGGACCAAUGAGAUGUGCCAGACUCCCUGGCUAUUGAAUGAAAACGAGCCCAGCCCACAGAAGAGAGACACCAGGUCCUGAGGACUUCAUCUUCUGAAUCCAGCCAUGCCUGUCUGCGCUUCCCACUGAAGUUUUUCCUUUUUACUUAGUUCAGACUGGAUUAGGUUUUGUUCCAGAUCCUAACUCAUUCAACUCCUCCCUUCAAGCAGAACAAGAUACAACAUCCAGAAAGAUGAGGGCGCUGCUCUAACCACCUGAGCACCCGGCCAGGGCCAGCGGAGUCAGUCUUGACCUCCCGACCUACAGAAAGCAUGUGAGAUGAUAAAGACUGACUGUCCUCAGCCACUACGUUUGCAGCGAUAGAACUCUGGAAAGCACCUAAAUGCCUGCAGCUAGGAGAGUGCCUGUCUAGACCACGGCAUGACGGUAUGAUGGAGCAGCGUGCAGCUCUAAUUAAACGGGGGGAAACUGAGACAAAUUGAUUCCCAAGAGAUAUUAAGUGAAAAAAAAGAAAAAUGCAAAAGGAUAUCUAUUUUUCAUGUAAAAAAGUAGGGGGUUAAGAAAAUAUACAUGGGCCCUGGCUGGGUAGUUCAGUGGUUGGAGCCUUAUCCCGAUGC